ensembl:lncRNA
UUUUCACUUAACAUUUAUUAAGUAAACCAUGCUGCAGAGCAGGCUUUCCGUUCAAACCCUUUCUGGCUGUGUGCAGAAGCUUCUCAGGUACCUGCCGUUUCUUCCUUGUCCUCACAAAGACGCUUAUUGAACAGCGAGAGAGCCCUGGAAAUAAUGUUCCCAAGGAAAAAACCACUAAGGUAUUAUUAUGAAAUGGAAAGACUUACCCAGGGUCGGGAAGAAGCUCGGCCGGCAGAGAGGCUCCUGCUGCAAGCUUGACAACUUGAAUUUGAUCCCCGGACCCACAUGGUAAAAGGAAAGAGCUCCUUCCACCAGGUCUCUAACCUCCACACACACGCUGCAACAAGCGCACCUCCCUCCAAAAAAUGUAAAGAGAAAAGUGUAGACAGAAAAUGGAAAGUCUGUGAAUUUCCAUACUUUCAUGCAUUUGGUGGGAUAGAUGGAUUCAGACUGUAGAGGAUAGAUAAGUAGAUUUUCAUAUCACAGAAUAAUUUUCAAGUGAGAAUGGGUAUCUGAAUCCUAAAUUAUUAAUCUGUAAUAGAAAGAUAUAGUUGUGGAACCACAUACUCAUUGUGAAGAGGGUCUAGCACAGAAGUCAGGAGCGCUGGCUGGGUCCAGGGUCACCCAUGAGAGUCUGGAGAUCCAGAACUCGGCUUUCUGAAGGGCAUGGAACUGAAGGCAUUGAGGAGCCCCAGCAGGUCUGGCCUCGAGCUCAGGUGAUGCGAACACAGAAGGUAGACUUCGGAACAUGUCACUGUAAAGCAUCUCAAAAUUGCUGCCAGAGCCAGAUGUGGCCUGCUUAAAGAACAACAAAGCCCCAGCUAUCCCGGAGCACAGAUGCCGUCUCAGCAAGUUCUCACCCCGUUUGUGUUGUUACACAUUUAUUCACAGGACUGUUGCCCCUGGGUGGGUAUCUCAGUGUGAUGUCCGUGCGUUCCAAGUGUUCCCUUGCUCCCGGUCUCAAAGAGCAGGCAAGGCAACUAUUUGACGGUGUUUGAGAUGUAUUGUGAACA